rnacentral:rRNA from 1 species
UACGUAGGGGGCAAGCGUUGUCCGGAAUUAUUGGGCGUAAAGCGCGCGCAGGCGGCCGUUUAAGUCUGGUGUUUAAGCCCGGGGCUCAACCCCGGAACGCACUGGAAACUGGGCGGCUUGAGUGCAGGAGAGGAGAGCGGAAUUCCACGUGUAGCGGUGAAAUGCGUAGAGAUGUGGAGGAACACCAGUGGCGAAGGCGGCUCUCUGGUCUGUAACUGACGCUGAGGCGCGAAAGCGUGGGGAGCAAACA